rnacentral:rRNA from 1 species
GAUGAACGCUAGCGGCAGGCCUAACACAUGCAAGUCGAGGGGUAGAGUAAGCUUGCUUACUUGAGACCGGCGCACGGGUGCGUAACGCGUAUGCAAUCUACCUUGUACAGGGGAAUAGCCCAGAGAAAUUUGGAUUAAUGCCCCAUAGUAUAAUUGAAUCGCAUGGUUUAAUUAUUAAAGUUCCAACGGUACAAGAUGAGCAUGCGUCCCAUUAGUUAGUUGGUAAGGUAACGGCUUACCAAGACAAUGAUGGUAGGGUCCUGAGAGGGAGAUCCCCCCACACUGGUACUGAGACACGGACCAGACUCCUACGGGAGGCAGCAGUGGGAAUUUUGGACAAUGGGCGAAAGCCUGAUCCAGCCAUGCCGCGUGC